CUGGAUCAGUACUUUUCACCACUGGUAACUCGAGAAUGUUCUGGACAUAGGCAUUGACAAUUUCGCUCGGUUUGCCGUACUCUCCUUUUAAGAUAUUUUUUGCCCUUUCAUACCCCUCUACCGUUAGAGGCAACCCAUCGAUAUCAGCUCUCACCUUCGGCUUAACAAACUCUUUCAAAUAGGUAAACUUCGUAACAGGCGACAAAUCGGCACCGUCAAUUUCAGCAACAAAUUUGUUCCAAAAGGGUGGCCAAUUCGCACAUUUCCCAUCGAACUGCGUAAUAGAUAGCUUCGGUAAUUUUGUCGACGCCGCUUUCUUUACUUGGUUUUGCUGUCCCGUUGCUAACACCUUCUGAAACUUUAGCUGUUGUUCAUAAAGUUCACGUUCGUGACUCAUUUUUUGUUCGUGCUUUCCGUCCUCGAUUGCCCUCUCUUGUUUAACUGAUUCGGCCAAUUCAACGGCCUGGUUUUCCUUCGCUAUAUUUUCUUUUAUUCGUUUUAAUUCUAACAAUUUCUCGUCGGCCGUUUUCAAAGUUCCUUCAAUGUCGACAAGCCAUUCUUGCACUUGUUCUUCAGUUUGUUUCUGACCGAAUUUCAAUUCUAUAAUGUCAUCUUUUAAGGCGUGACUCGCUUCGAUUUUACCUUUGAUUGACGCUUCGUGUCUAGUUAUCACAUCGAGGUUUCUCGUUUCGAUUUCUUGUUCGCUUUUACCCAACGUAAAUUUUAAUGUUCGUAGUUUCCCAUCAAGCUCUUGUAGUUUUGUCUCCAUGCUUUUCUUUCACUUCGUUUGUUUAGUUAUAUAUAAUAAAUCACUCGAUAAAUAGCGGCCGUAUAUCACUGUAGUUUGUACGCUGUCGUUUAGUUUCGAUUUGUCACUCGAUAAAUAUGCUAGGUUCUUGCUCUUGUUCGAGCUUAAAAUCUCACAAAUCCCAUCACGGAGGUGCCAGUUGUUGAGAAUUGCCUCCCGUUGAUUCCCAACAUAAAUUAAAAUUACAAACACUGGGUAUUUCUAUAGUUUUAUUGACAAAAAUCUCAUGCUUCGCUGUGUUCUUUCCCGAAUCCCUCGCCAUGUCAACAUUCUCAACGGUAUAUUCCGGAGCUGUCCGACUGUCCGCGAGUAUACUCGCAUGUCCCACGCGAUAAUAAAAAAGCUAAAUAUAGUUUCCG